UUGCUGGACCCACGGUGAUACAUAAGCAAUUUGCCUACCCCACAGCCUGGCGCCUGCAAUGUUCAACUCGAAUGUUUGCCUCAACAACUGUGGAAGGCAAGAUGGGGCCCAUGGGGGUGACAGGCUGUGGAGACUUUUGAUUUGAUCUCAAAGAAGCAGCCCGAGAAACCCCUACUCCUACCAUGAUUAAGGAUUGCAGCAAACUUGCAAAUUAACCAAUCCAUGCACUGAAAA
rnacentral:rRNA from 14 species